rnacentral:rRNA from 1 species
GACAGAGGGGGCAAGCGUUGCUCGGAAUUACUGGGCGUAAAGGGCGCGUAGGCGGGAUGGCAAGUCGGUCGUGAAAUCCCUCGGCUCAACCGAGGAACGUCGAUCGACACUGCUGUUCUUGAGGAUUGCAGAGGAGACUGGAAUUCCCGGUGUAGCGGUGAAAUGUGUAGAGAUCGGGAGGAACACCGGUGGCGAAGGCGGGUCUCUGGGCAAUUCCUGACGCUGAGGCGCGAAAGCGUGGGGAGCAAACGGG